CAACCCGGCCAGACCGGGCCCUCCACCCAGCUGGCCCCUGGGACUGCUGCAGGCCCCAACCUGAAGGUCACCUGAGUCGCUCUUGAGGAAAACAGCCACAAACCACCAUCAUUGAGGAGAAAACACGGAUGGGAGGAUUCCACCCCUCCAUUCAGCCAGCAGGCAUUUACGGGGCACUGUGCUGGAUGCUGGGGAUACAGCUGGAAAGGAGACCACAUUCCUGCGUUCAUGGAACCUACAGUCUUAACAUGGAGAGAGUCCAUAACCAGGUCAUGAUCUCAGGGUCGUGGGAUCAAGCCCCA